AGCUGUGGUGUUCCUUGGUAAUCAUGCCUGCUGAGGAGGAGGAGGAGAACUCUGCACAACCUGUGUGGCAGUCCAUCCUACUCUUUGGCUGUAAGGGAAUGAUCGAGGGAAUCAUCGUCCUCUUGUUUCUCUGGCUGCUGUUGCAGUCCACUUGCAGAUUCUGCUGAGUGUGGGCUUGGUGGUUCUGUGUUUUUCCCUUAUACUGGGAUGCAUCAUUUGUUGGUUAAAGACCAGACACAAACCACUCAAAGACAAAAAUACUGUGAGGACACCCCCUCCUCCUGAUUCUGCGGAUCAUGCGACUGUGGCUUUGAGUCCUGUCCUUUUAUCUGGAACCACAAUUACCAAAUUACAAUACGAGGCGCAGGAAGGAUCAGUUCAAGACUAUCCACCUGCUUUUGAGAGCUCUACACCAUCAGAUGAAGAGUUGACUGCUGUCUCUGAGGUUAACAAGUCAUGCUUCCCAAUGAGACGACUCAGUUCUCCAACCUCUUCUUUAUACAAGCCCAUGGCCAGUGGCCGCUCCUCUCUCCCAAGACUUAGUCUUCUCUCAAACACCCGGAAUGUUCUGGAACGGCACUGCACUGUGGCUGGAGAUAGUUACUCAUUUAGCGAACACAGAAGGCUCACUAUUCCCAACCCUCGAUCACCCUGUGCCCUUUCUCCACUUCAAACCCAAGGUCUACUACAGGACGAAACUUUAUUUCCUAACUAUGGUUCAAAUUCUUGAAGUGAGACCUCACAUCCCUUCUUGCACUUUACCCUGACCUUCUCUUCAACACAGAACACACUCACUGUAUCCUUAGCGGGUUUAACCGGUGUAAUCCAUCGUCUAGAAGAAGUGACUGUCCAGGCCAGGCUGCCCCCAGUUUGCCCUGGACCUCUGGAUAUAUCUGCUCAAGAUUACAACCUUAGCUCUGGACUCUAUAAAAAGAACUUGGUGAUCAAUGUCGGAUCUCUAGAGGGGCUUAAGAGUUGCAUGCUCAGAUUGGACAUUUUCAUGCAGGAUAAUCCAAGGACAUCCCUAUUUGAGGAGCUGGAAGUUUGUUGCAGUAGUCUGGACUGGACACCAGACAGGCCUGUCAGCUGCAUUAGAGAACUAAAGCAAGUUGUGGACAAGUCCAAAAAGGACUCUUCAUAGCUCUUACUGUGAAACUAGACUGUCUUAAACAUCAUCCCAGACAUCCGAAAUACAUUCAAAGGACAAGAGUGGCUCAUGUCUUCAAAGGACAAGAGUGGCUCAUAUUUUAUUCAACAUGCGAGAGAGAUCAUGAGGUCUCCGGUCAGCUCUUCAUCUUGUUGCAGUACCAGACUGUGGUCUGUUGGCUUACAGUUCUCAUUCUGAAAGCAGACAACCUUAACAUCCAAACUCCAGGUGAGUUUACCACACACUGUUCUCACCCUCUCUCAAAUGGUACCAUUGACCUAAUAUCAGUUGGACUGUUAUACAAGUUUAUAGAUCAUGUUGACCACUCCAGAACAAGUCCAGAACAGCGGACCUCUCAAAGGGGGGAUUGGGAGCACUUAAAAGCACCAUUUUGAACCCUAAAACAGGGCUCAUCACCUCCAACCCUGGAGAGCCAGAGUUUUGCUCUAACCCUAACCAAACACACGCAAAUAAGUUAAUGAAAGUGUUGAGAACUACUUGCAUAUAACAACUGGGAGUUAAAAUGGGAUUGAUAAAGUCUGCAAAAUACUGGCCCCCCAGGACUGGAGCUGAAGAGUCUUGCCCUAAAAUUAUAAAUGUGAUAACCUACUACUGGGGAAGCCAACCCCCCUCCUGGAGGGCCACCAUUCUACAGACUUUUGCUCCAACCCCAAUCAAACACACCUGAACCAAUUAAUCAAGGAAUUCAGGGUUACUUUUAAAUAGGCAGGUGUGUUCAAACAGGGUUGGAACUGAAGUCUACAGGAAGGUAGCCCUCCAGGAGCUGGACUGGAUACCCCUGCCCAGACUCACAGACAUUUUCUAUUCCAAAUGGGGAAAAAUAAUUUUAUUAUUCAGAAGGGUGCUCACAGGCUAGUAUAUACCAUUAAUGUGCCCUUUCUCCAAGGCCAUACUGGUGCGACUUCUAGCUGGCAGUUUUUGUGAAUCAUAUCACCCAAAUGUGGACUUGGAGGAGGACUGGUAGAAAUGAGGGGGUGCAUUUGGGACAGGGCGAUUAAUAGGCAAAGUUAAAUUUUUGUGUUUGAGUGGGGCCAAAAAGAUGACUAGGUGAGCACAUCUGUGUUUAAUGUUUUUAUAGAGGUUGCAUGAAUUUAUUGCACGACUAAAGAAGACAUGGAGAUGUUUCCAUCAGACAAGAUGGAUGCAGAGAGGCUAACUGAAAGGCUAAAAGUUAUGAAAAAUUCCCUUUUUACGUUAUUAAAAUAUAUCCAACAUACUGAACAAAUGGGGCCAGACUUCAUAAGCAAAUAAUUCACGUUCAUACUUGAUCUUCAUCUCAUAAAACACAUUACUUUCCUCUUCCAGUUUUAAAUUUUGAAUUAACCCAAUUUCACACAAAAAAAUUACAAAGAGGUGCCAUAUUGUCCACAUACAGUGCAAAAUAGUUCCCAGAAAACAGUUUAAUGUCCUGAGAGUGCAGGAAAGCAUAUUGCACCACAAAUCAGGUCAAUGAAUAGAUUUGUCAUGACAGCACAUCUGCCAUAUGUAUACGGUAGUUCCAGCUUACAUGACUAUUAUGUAAAAGCUAGAGAAUUUAUCCAUCAUAAACUAAGCCUAAAUGUUUGCUUUUAGUGUUCGGGAUUAAAUGCUUGUCUUAUGAGAACCAAGAUCCACAGGAGAUCAGCCUAUUUUAAUGACACCGUAGUUUAAUCCCCCUCCCUCUUCAAUCUUUCAGGCAGCAGUCCGAUCCCUUUCAUUUCAGACCUGCUCAAACCUCAGCAGAGGAUGAGAACCAAGAUCCACAGGAGAUCAGCCUAUUUUAAUGACACCGUAGUUUAAUCCCCCUCCCUCUUCAAUCUUUCAGGCAGCAGUCCGAUCCCUUUCAUUUCAGACCUGCUCAAACCUCAGCAGAGGGAGGCCACGGCCAUGAGGCCAUUUACUU
rnacentral:lncRNA from 1 species